rnacentral:rRNA from 1 species
UACAGAGGGGGCAAGCGUUAUUCGGAAUUAUUGGGCGUAAAGGGCGCGUAGGCGGCUUUGCAAGCGACGGGUGAAAUCCCUCGGCUUAACCGAGGAACUGCCUGUCGAACUGCUUUGCUUGAGGCCGGGAGAGGUGAGUGGAAUUCCCAGUGUAGCGGUGAAAUGCGUAGAUAUUGGGAGGAACACCAGUGGCGAAGGCGGCUCACUGGACCGGUUCUGACGCUGAGGCGCGAAAGCGUGGGUAGCAAACAGG